CAUAGCUCAAUGGUAGAGCAUUCGGCUGUUAACCGAAGGGUUGUAGGUUCGAGCCCUACUG
rnacentral:tRNA from 1 species